rnacentral:rRNA from 1 species
GACGAACGCUGGCGGCGGGCUUAACACAUGCAAGUCGAACGGAAAGGCCCUGCUUUCGUGGGGUGCUCGAGUGGCGAACGGGUGAGUAACACGUGAGUAACCUGCCCUAGACUUUGGGAUAACUUCAGGUAACUGGGGCUAAUACCGGAUAGGAUAUCCUGCUGCAUGGUGGGGGUUGGAAAGUUUCGGCGGGUGGGGAUGGACUCGCGGCUGAUCAGCUAGUUGGUGGGGUAGUGGCUUACCAAGCCUGUGACGGGUAGCCGGCAUGGGAGGGUGGCCGGGGACAUGGGGCCUAAGGGAGGCAGCAGUGUCGAACAUGGGACAGCAGUGGGAAGCCUGGUCCAGUGGGACGAAGUGGGUUAAGGAGGCGCUCGGGUUGUAAAGCCGGUUUGCUGGUAAAGAAAAGCAUCCGGUUGAGACGAAGCGGGAGUGACGGUAACGGAAAAAGAAGCACCGGCUAACUACGUG